UCUUUCUUUAUUAUAUUUCUUUUAAUUUCUUAGUCUUUUUACUAUUUAUUAUAAUAAUUGUUUGAAUCAUAAUAAUUUUCUCUUUCAUAUUAAAUGAGUCAGCUUGUGAGCCGGCUCGAACUCGUAGAAUAAAGCUCCAGCUCGAACUCUUUUAAUUAAUCAAGCUCAAGCUCAAGGCAAGUUUGACUCAAACUUGGAUCGACUCAUUUAUACUCCUAGCUGUAAUACAUUCUUUCCUUGCAGCAUUUGAAAUUUGGAGAUGAAAUUUGUGAAAAUAGUUGGGUUACAUAAGGAAAUGCUAUUAGUAGCCUCAUCUCCAACAUGAAAUUGAGUUAGGAUCAGAGGGUCUAAUCAAUUGCCAGUUAUUAAGUUUUAUGCCUUACACUACAUUUAGCAGUGUGAUAUUGUAUCUAUAUGUUUUAUAUGUGACGACGUAGCAUAUGUUAUAACAUUCUACUGAUUACUUCAGUUGAAAUCCCUGGCAGCUGUGGAUGCUGGAGAAGCUCCAGGCUUUUACAUGUGAACCCACCAAACUCUUGGUCAGAUGGUUUUUCAGGGAAUAUUUCAAUGUUUUAUAUGAUGAUGAUGAAACAUAAAUGUGAUACAAGCAUAGAAAUUUUCUACUGAAUACUUCACUUAAAUAUACGUUGUAACAAUGACUGUUGUGGUGCUUGGUAAGGAUCAGGAUUCAUGUCUUCUUCUUCUUAUCCAGUGAUUACUUCAACUAAAGGUUAAUAUCUACUGGAGAUGCAAUGGAUAUAAUAUCCAACAAAUGAGAGUGACUUCUUCCUAGCUUAUUGACGAAUCAUCCAUGGCCACUUUUCUCAUUAUUAGUCUAGCAAUGGAUGACACGUCAACGAUGGUUUGAAAGGCAUGUAAAUGAUGCAUCAUUUUUCCUUAUUUUGGUAUUGUACGUAGAGGACGGGAGAAAGUUCUUUCUUUGUGCUAUUUUAAGACUCUCUCUUUCUCUCUCUCUCUCUAUAUAUAUAUAUAAACACACACACAUACAUACAUACACACACAGAAAAAUAUCAAAAUAGUCUUCAAACUAUUUGUAUGUGUCCAAUUUACUCAGAGUAUUUCGUUGUCCUAAUUUUUAACCCUCAACUAUGUAAGAUUGAUCAAAAAUGUUCUUUCACGUUGUAAUUAUGAUAUAUAUAUUGAUCACAAUUUAGUCGCUUGACUAUACAAUUGGUUG